rnacentral:rRNA from 1 species
ACGAAGGGGGCUAGCGUUGUUCGGAAUUACUGGGCGUAAAGGGCGCGUAGGCGGCCGUUUAAGUUAGGUGUGAAAGUCCUGGGCUCAACCUGGGGACUGCACUUAAUACUGGAUGGCUUGAAUUCGGGAGAGGAUAGCGGAAUUCCCAGUGUAGAGGUGAAAUUCGUAGAUAUUGGGAAGAACACCGGUGGCGAAGGCGGCUAUCUGGACCGACAUUGACGCUGAGGCGCGAAAGCGUGGGGAGCAAACAG